CGGGCAGAGUCAGCUCAUAGCGUAUAUUAAAGUUGGUGCGGUUAAAAAGCUCGUAGUUGGAUUUCUGUCGAGGACGGGCGGUCCACACUUUGUGUGAGUAUCUGAUUCGGCCUUGGCAUCCUCCUGGGGAACGUUUCUGCCCUUGAUUGCGUGGAGCGGAAUUCAGGGCUUUUACCUUGAGGGAAAAUUAAAUUUUCCCGGGCAGGCAAACCGCCCUGGAAAUUUUUUGCAAGGGAUAUAUAAUUUAUGGACCUU
rnacentral:rRNA from 1 species